AUAAGGAGUCGGACCUGCCCAGUGAAACAUUUUAAACGGCCGCGGUACUCUGACCGUGCAAAGGUAGCAUAAUCAUUUGCCCUAUAAUUGAGGGCUAGUAUGAAUGGUUUGACAAGAAUAAAGCUGUCUCUAUGUAAUUACACAGAAUUUUAUUUUUAGGUGAAGAAGCCUAAAUUGUAUUAAAAGACAAGAAGACCCUAUCGAGCUUUAAAGAAAUUGAUAAAGUAUAAUAAAUAUUAAUUAAAAUAAAUUUUAUUGAAAAUUUUGGUUGGGGCGACAAAGGAACAAACAAAGCUUCUUCUAUGAUAACAAAACCUACAAGUAUUGAUCCAAAAACUUUUGAUUAAAGAAAUUAGUUACCGUAGGGAUAACAGCAUUAUCUUUUUUGAGAGCUCAUAUCGAAAAAAAGGUUUGUGACCUCGAUGUUGGACCAGGAUAUCCGGAAGAUGCAGAAGUCUCAAAGGUUGGUCUGUUCGACCAUUAAAAUCCUA
rnacentral:rRNA from 1 species